GUUUUUAUUCUCGUUGUAUCGUCUUAUAUAAAUUCAAGGGAUGUCCUCUUCAAUUGUAGUUACUUUAAUCCAACUUUAAUUUGAUAAAUUGACGUGUGUUCCAUAACUCUUCGGAGAUGGCUACCAUUGCGAGAUGGGAGCUUUUCAAGGAGGUCAAUUUUCCAAACUCAAUGCGGGCGUUACUUCUGGACCCUCGCGGACGCAGCCUGAAGUGUGUUCGAACAUCAACUCCAGUACCCUGCAGCUAAUAAGCUAGCGCCCUAAUACGCUCCAAAUUUUUGCUUUUGCAUUGCAAGAUAUUACUUAUUAUUGCUUUCAUGUACUGUAACUUAUGCAAAAGUGUCAAUAAAUCUCACAAUUUUUACAAAUACAAAACUGAGUUAAAAAUUUCGCACAAAAAAAUUUACGAGUUCUACGCU